GUGACUCAGUCUGAACCACUACUACAACUAGAAGCAUUCAGUAAGCUUACCACUGUUUUAAGAGUCACUGCUUGGAUCAGACGAUUUGUCCAUAAUUGUCGUGCUCAAGACAAGAAACGAGGAGACCUCACAGCAGAGGAGCUGUCAGAAGCUGAAAGAUUGUGGAUUCAGGAGGCACAAGGCAAGGUGUUUGCCAGAGAAAUAAAUGAAUUGAAGACAGGGCAGAAUAUUCACAAGGACUCAAAAAUCAGAGACCUUAACCCUUUCCUUGAUGAGUAUGGAGUAAUAUGUGUGGGAGGAAGGUUGCAACAGUCAAGACUGAGUGAGAGAGAGCAGCAUCCAUGGCUGCUACCUACCAACCACCGACUGUCUGACAUGCUGGUUAUGUGUUGCCACAACAAGGUAAUGCAUUCAGGGGUCAGGGACACAUUGGUCCAGCUGAGAGAAAGAUACUGGAUCCCAGGUGCCAGACGGAAGGUAAAGAAGAUCAUAUCUGCCUGCAUGAUCUGCAAAAGGUUCACAGCAACCCCAGCUCAGCAGGUGACUGCACCCCUACCGAGGGACAGGAUUGUUGAAGCGCCUCCAUUUGAAAUUACAGACAUUGACUUUGCUGGCCCUCUUUAUGUGAAAACUCGGACCACCGUAGAAAAGGCAUACAUUGCAUUGUUCACCUGUGCUGUGACACGAGCGGUACACUUAGAGUUGGUGUCAGACUUGUCCACAGAAAAAUUCCUCCUGGCUCUAAAGAGGUUCGUAUCCAGGCGUGGCCUCUGCAGAGUCAUCUACUCAGACAAUGCUCAAACCUUCAAAAGGGCUGAUCAUGAUCUCAGAGAACUCUGGGCAGCAAUUAAAGAGCCUGAGCUUCAGGAAUAUUUUUCCUCAAACGGCAUCGGGUGGAAGUUCAUUGCAGAAAGAGCACCUUGGUGGGGUGGAUUCUGGGAACGGUUAAUCCGAUCAGUGAAAACAAGCCUGAAAAGAGUGAUGGGGAGAGCUUCACUGAGUUUUGAAGAAUUGUCUUCGUUGUUGACAGAGGUGGAGGCUAUAGUCAAUUCAAGGCCGCUCACAUUUGUGUACAGUGAGUUGGAAGAGCCUCAACCGUUGACACCAGCACAUUUUCUUGUUGGGAAAAGACUUACUUCUUUACCACCAAAGUCUUUCC
rnacentral:lncRNA from 1 species